AAUAAGUACAGCCAUGAGUUUCCGUGUCCAACUUUGAUCAUCUGUCUUAUUUAAAAUUUUUUAUAAUUAGCAUUUUUGUUGUUAUAAUAUGAUAAAAUAUGAAUAGUACUUUACUCAUGAUUUAUGUUUUUAAUUUUUUUAAAAAAAUUUUCAAAUAAGACGAAUGAUCAAAGUUGAGUACGAAAAACCAUGGCUGCACUUAUU
rfam:Oryza glumipatula chromosome 1, whole genome shotgun sequence.